AUGAAUAGCAACAGGGCCCCUGGCCCUAACAACAUUCCAGCAGAAUUCUACCAACACUGUUGGGAGAUUGUGAAGGGUGAUAUUAUGAGGCUUUUUGAGGCCAUGUAUGAGGGAACACUCGAUGUUCAAAGGUUAAACUACGGGGUCAUUACUCUGAUUCCUAAGAUCAAUGGUGCGAACAAAAUUCAACAGUUCAGACCUAUUUGUUUACUUAGAUGCCCAUAUAAGUUGAUCACAAAGGUGUUAGACAACAGAGCAGCCCCCUAUGCUGACAUCUUGUUUAGCAAGCACCAAAAUGCCUUUAUUAAACACAGGAGUAUCAUGGAUGGGGUACUUACUUUACAUGAGAUUUUGCAUCAUACUCAUAUUAAGAAGAGAGUUGGCAUCUUUAUUAAACUUGAUUUUGAAAAAGCUUACGAUAAGGUUAAUUGGGAUUUCUUGCUUAAGUGUCUUGAGAUCAGAGGCUUUGGUAAGAUUUGGUGCAGUUGGAUGGAGAAAAUUCUCCACAAUGGCACAGUUAGUGUAAAGUUAAAUAAUACCUCGGGGCCUUACUUCCAAAGCCACAAAGGGGUGCGACAAGGAGACCCGGUGUCCCCUUUCUUGUUUAAUAUUGCUGUCGAGUGCUUGUGUAAGAUGGUAUUGCAAGCA
rnacentral:rRNA from 1 species